UACGUAGGGCGCAAGCGUUGUCCGGAAUUAUUGGGCGUAAAGAGCUCGUAGGCGGCUUGUCACGUCGGGUGUGAAAGCCCGGGGCUUAACCCCGGGUCUGCAUUCGAUACGGGCUGGCUAGAGUGUGGUAGGGGAGAUCGGAAUUCCUGGUGUAGCGGUGAAAUGCGCAGAUAUCAGGAGGAACACCGGUGGCGAAGGCGGAUCUCUGGGCCGUUACUGACGCUGAGGAGCGAAAGCGUGGGGAGCGAACAGG
rnacentral:rRNA from 1 species